AACGCGAAGAACCUUACCCACUUUUCCCAUCCCGGUAGCGGCCUUUAGAGAUAAGGGCUUCAUUUAGUUGGACCGGUGACAGGUGCUGCAUGGCUGUCGUCAGCUCGUGUCGUGAGAUGUUGGGUUAAGUCCCGCAACGAGCGCAACCCUCGUCGUAUGUUGCCAUCAGGUUAUGCUGGGCACUCAUAUGAGACUGCCGGUGAUAAGCCGGAGGAAGGUGGGGACGACGUCAAGUCAUCAUGGCCCUUACAGGUGGGGCUAGAAACGUGCUACAAUGGCAGUGACAAUGGGCAGCUACACAGCAAUGUGAUGCUAAUCCCAAAAAGCUGUCUCAGUUCGGAUUGUCCUCUGCAACUCGAGGGCAUGAAGCUGGAAUCGCUAGUAAUCGCAAAUCAGCAUGUUGCGGUGAAUACGUCCCGGGUCUUGUACACACCG
rnacentral:rRNA from 1 species